UCGCUGCGUAGUGAAUCAUCGAAUCUUUGAACGCAAUUUGCACCUCGUGGCUUUUGUCACAAGGUAUACUUGUUUGAGUAUCCAAAUCAAACUCACCUCCCUUUCGGGGCGAAGUGGACUUGAGAUUCGAGGCCGAACAAAUUUGUAAAAGAAUUUGGGGUAGUAUCGUUUCUUUAAAUAUGUGGUCAUUUAUGGAAAGUCUCCGUCUGGAGUCUUGCAGACUAUUGGGAUAACAUCCUAACGAUCGUUUGUAAGACUCUUCAAUUGGAUGUUGACUGACCUUGAUCAACCUUGAAUGAUUAACACUACCCUGUGUUAAGCGUUCACUGGAAAGAUAGAUUGUCAUUCGUGAUGAAACACUUUUCAUGAAAACGAUCUCAAAUCAAGUAAGGAUACCCGCUGAACUUAAGCAUAUCAAUAAGCGGAGG
rnacentral:rRNA from 1 species